rnacentral:rRNA from 1 species
UGGGGAAUAUUGGACAAUGGGCGAAAGCCUGAUCCAGCCAUGCCGCGUGUGUGAAGAAGGUCUUCGGAUUGUAAAGCACUUUAAGUUGGGAGGAAGGGCAGUAAGCGAAUACCUUGCUGUUUUGACGUUACCGACAGAAUAAGCACCGGCUAACUCUGUGCCAGCAGCCGCGGUAAUACAGAGGGUGCAAGCGUUAAUCGGAAUUACUGGGCGUAAAGCGCGCGUAGGUGGUUCGUUAAGUUGAAUGUGAAAGCCCCGGGCUCAACCUGGGAACUGCAUCCAAAACUGGCGAGCUAGAGUGUGGGAGAGGGUGGUGGAAUUUCCUGUGUAGCGGUGAAAUGCGUAGAUAUAGGAAGGAACACCAGUGGCGAAGGCGACCACCUGGGCUCAUACUGACACUGAGGUGCGAAAGCGUGGGGAGCAAACAGG